rnacentral:rRNA from 1 species
UACGUAGGUGGCAAGCGUUAUCCGGAAUUACUGGGCGUAAAGCGCACGCAGGCGGUCUUUUAAGUUUGACGUGAAAGCUCCCGGCUUAACUGGGAGAGGUCGUUGAAGACUGGAAGACUUGAGGCAAUGAGAGGGGUGUAGAAUUCCCGGUGUAGUGGUGGAAUGCGUAGAUAUCGAGAGGAACACCUGCGGCGAAGGCGGGUUGCUGGGCUGACACUGACGCUGAAGCGCGAAAGCUAGGGGAGCGAACGGG